GACGAACGCUGGCGGCGUGCUUAACACAUGCAAGUCGAACGAAGAGGUCCAGCUGGGAGGGUAUUCGUGGGGGGAGGGGGAGUGAAACGCGGGUGAGCUGCGCUCCAGAGGGGGGGAAAAGCCGGAGAAGGCGGCUAAAACAGCGGAAGCACAUAGCACUGCACGGUGCGUAGGGUAAAUGGGCAGUCCGGUACAGGAUGGACCCGCGUCCGAUUAGCCAGUUGGCAGGGUAACGGCCUACCAAGGCGACGACGAGUAGCCGACCGGAGAGGCUGCACGGCCAGAUUGGGACUGAGACACGGCCCAGACCCCGACGGGAGGCAGGAGUAUGGAAUAUUACACAAUGAAGGCUACUCUGGUGCAGCGGCGCCGGGGGUGUGAGGAAUUGUUUCGGUAUCUAAAGCCCUAUCAGAAGAGGAGAAAAUGACGGUACCUGACGAAGAAGCACCGGCUAACUACGUG
rnacentral:rRNA from 1 species